rnacentral:rRNA from 1 species
AUCUACAACCAUACCACCCUGAACAAGCCCGAUCCCAUUUGAUCUUGGAAGCUAAGCAAGGCUGGGCCUGGUUAGUACAUGGAUGGGAGACCACCUAGGAAGACAAGGUGCUGUAGGCG